CUCACUGCCCAAUAGGCAGUACCAAUGGCAAUUUUUCAGUUGUUUUUGUAGUAAAUGUAUUAGCUUUUAAUAUUCCAACAGAAUGUAAAAAUAUUUUUUGUUCGUUAUUUAAGGAGGAAAAAUAAUUGACAGAAUUUAAAUGUGAAAUCAGGAUGUCAAUGGCCUACCCUUUACAGAAGCAUCAGAGAAGAAGUCAUCUCUCCAGAAAUAAGUCCCCAUUGCUGAAAGAAGAGGAUAAAAUUUUACAGCCUCAUUUUCCAACCCAGCACUGGAGAGAAGCUUUUGUGGGGCACCAAAUAAUUUUCUUCCCAAAUGCUCCUUUUGUGAAAAGUUUGCCUUGCUUUCCUCAAAUUCUUAUGGGCAGUCCUUGCGUCAUUCACAGAUCCACAAUCUGCUUUCUGUUUUUUAGCUAUCAUGUAUAACAGAAGUGUAUUUUUUUAAUUUCUCCAAAAGAAAUAAAAGGAAUUGAUUUUGCUUGCUGAGUUUUCAGCCCACAAACAAUUGUUUGAACUCUGUUUCUCAUAAACUGUUAUGUAUGUAUGGGUUUACAUAAAUUGUUUGUUUUCAAAAUGAUGGAUGUAUGUGUAAUCCCUGGGUAAAUUUAUUAAGAUAUUUUAUUGCCCAGAAAUUCCUGAAUAAAGAUGCAUC